GAUGAACGCUGGCGGCGUGCCUAAUACAUGCAAGUCGAACGCUUCACUUCGGUGAAGAGUGGCGAACGGGUGAGUAAUACAUAAGUAACCUGGCAUCUACAGGGGGAUAACUGAUGGAAACGUCAGCUAAGACCGCAUAGGUGUAGAGAUCGCAUGAACUCUAUAUGAAAAGUGCUACGGGACUGGUAGAUGAUGGACUUAUGGCGCAUUAGCUGGUUGGUAGGGUAACGGCCUACCAAGGCGACGAUGCGUAGCCGACCUGAGAGGGUGACCGGCCACACUGGGACUGAGACACGGCCCAGACUCCUACGGGAGGCAGCAGUUGGGAAUUUUCGGCAAUGGGGGAAACCCUGACCGAGCAACGCCGCGUGAAGGAAGAAGUAAUUCGUUAUGUAAACUUCUGUCAUAGAGGAAGAACGGUGGAUAUAGGGAAUGAUUUCCAAGUGACGGUACUCUAUAAGAAAGCCACGGCUAACUACGUGCCAGCCGCCGCCGUAA
rnacentral:rRNA from 1 species